rnacentral:rRNA from 1 species
CAGCAGCCGCGGUAAUACAGAGGGUGCAAACGUUGUUCGGAAUGACUGGGCGUAAAGCGCGUGUAGGCGGCCUCGCAAGUCGAGUGUGAAAGCCCUGGGCUCAAACCAGGAAGUGCACUCGAAACUGCAAGGCUUGAGUUCCGGAGAGGAAAGCGUAAUUCUCGGUGUAGAGGUGAAAUUCGUAGAUAUCGAGAGGAACACCGGUGGCGAAGGCGGCUUUCUGGACGGCGACUGACGCUGAGACGCGAAAGCGUGGGGAGCAAACAGGAUUAGAUACCCUGGUAGUCCACGCCGUAAACGAUGGGUGCUAGGUGUCGCGGGCAUUGACCCCUGCGGUGCCGAAGCCAACGCAUUAAGCACCCCGCCUGGGGAGUACGGCCGCAAGGCUAAAACUCAAAG